UGGACUACUGGGUUUCUAAUCCUGUUUGCUCCCCACGCUUUCGCACCUCAGCGUCAGUAUCGAGCCAGUGAGCCGCCUUCGCCACUGGUGUUCCUCCGAAUAUCUACGAAUUUCACCUCUACACUCGGAAUUCCACUCACCUCUCUCGAUCUCAAGACUAGAAGUUUCAAAGGCAGUUCCAAGGUUGAGCCCUGGGAUUUCACCUCUGACUUUCUAAUCCGCCUACGUGCGCUUUACGCCCAGUAAUUCCGAAUAACGCUAGCCCCCUCCGUAUUACCGCGGCGGCUGGCACCA
rnacentral:misc_RNA from 1 species